UAGACUCAUUGCUAAGCGGCAAGCGGCUAGUCUCCAAAACCAGUAAUCUAGGUUCGAAUCCUGGUGAGUCUGUC
rnacentral:tRNA from 1 species